GCUGGAGUGCAAUGGCACGAUCUUGGCUCACCGCCAUCUCCACCUCCUGGGUUCAGGCAAUUCUCCUGCCUCAGCCUCCUGAGUAGCUGGGAUUACAGGCACGCGCCACCGUGCCCAGCUAAUUUUUUUGUAUUUUUAGUAGAGACGGGGUUUCACCAUGUUGACCAGGAUGGUCUCGAUCUCUCAUGAUCCACCCGCCUCGGCCUCCCAAAGUGCUGGGAUUACAGGCUUGAGCCACUGCGCUUUAGAGCUAGAAUGUCUGUAGAUAUUGUUCUUUGCUGCCCCAUCAUUGUGGGUGGAGUAGGUAACACAUUUCUUAUAUUUUAUGGUUCAAUGAUUGAGAGAAAUUGUGUCUCAGAGUGGAUCAUGCCCAGAGCCUCACUCAUACCUGAUUUUGAUGAUGUACAUGCUGUGAUGUGGGGCUUUUGAGCUGAUGAAAUUUGGUCUUUGAGUUUGUGCUGUUGCGACUUUUGGGCAACAUGGUAUGGGUGAAUUUAUUUCACCUGUGUAGUUGAUAUAAACCUUGGUGGCCAGAUUUUGGAUUGGUAGGAGGAAACAUGACCCAUAAUGGUGUCUGCAUUUUAAGUCUGGAGUCUGUAAAUAUGUUAGGUUACAUGGCAAAAGGAAAUUAACGUUGUUAUAAAGUUGACUUGAUAAUAGGGACAUUAUCCUGGCUUUUUUGGGAAGGCUCAGUGUAAUAUAGGCAGCCUUCAGUGUGGAACGUGGAAGCGGAAGUGUCAAUGUCAGAACUCACAAUGUGAGAAAGACUCAAAUGAUCACCCUCGGCUUUGAAUAUUGAAGGGCCCAUUAGCCAUGGAACGUGGGAAGUCUCUUGAUGCUGAAAAAGGCAAGGGAAACAUUCUUCCCUAGAGCCUCUAGUAAGGAACACAGUUCUGCUCAAACCAUGAUUUUAACUCAGUGAGAUACAUUUCAGCCUUCUUAUCUCCAGCACUAUAUGAUAAUAAAUUUGUAUUGUUUAAAGCCUCUACAUUACUGCUGGUUCAUCACAGAAGCAAAAUAAAACUAAUUACAGCAUGCAAUUAAAAUUCUUAAACAACAGAAAAUUUGAGAAGUAAUACAGAGCAUAAAUAAACAAUGUAAGAUUUCACUGGUGGGAUAGAUGGAGACCAUAAUAAUUUGGGUCUAUCAGUCUAAACUUUGAAAAUACCUUCAUUCCAAAUGCACUAGGUACAGGAUUUGUAUCAAAUGUACCAGGUACAGUUUUCCUUUCUGGACUUUCCAACACAUAAAUUAAACAUCUAUAUCUAGAUAGCUGCAUGUGUAUGUCUUUUUAUAUUAUUUAAUUUUAUAUGAAUGUCAUCUUUAUGCAUAAAAAUGGCUAAAACCCUAACGGAAUAACUUGCAAUCCUUUCCAAAGAUAUGGAUGGGACAGUGGCAUUUUUGUUUGUGGCAAUAAUAGCUAUUUGCAGAGCCUGGCACUCUUUAAGGCUCUGCCUCUUCAUGGCAUAUUUGCCUGAUGCCUUUGCUUCAAAAGAGCUAUGCUGUCUGUUCUCACUUGCUCAGCUGGCUAGCUUCCCACCAUUCCACAGCUCUGCUGACUUGCUUGAAAUUCUGCUUCAGUGUGUCCUCAUGGCAUUUUCCCUAUCCAGCUACUUUCAAACACCUCACUUCCACUAUACCACCCCAGGAAUCACAGAGUGAUUACAAUAAAGUAUGACUAUUCACAAUCAGCAGGGCAUGUGCCUACAGAAGAACUGUAGUUGACUUUUUAAAGCAGGAGGAUGUAUUAGUCAUAAAUAUGUCACUUUGCUUCUGUUUUCUAUUCAUCAUACCCAAAGUCAGAAGAUUGUUCUAUUCCCUGGAAACUUUUCUUCAGAAAUGUACACUUCAAAGCCCCAAGAGUUUUCCGUAAGUAAUUCAGAGAGAAAUGCAGUUUUACGGGUGUGAUACGGAAACCAGUGCUACCUUAAAACAUUCCCCGAACCCCGUUUUGUUUGUCCCUGCAGUCUGAAAGGAAUGCGUAUUUCCUUUGGCAGAUUUGGUGGGCAGGCAAAGUAGAAUUUGUGGAAUGGCCAGUGGCUGUCCUGCUGAAAUAGGAAGGCAUAGAUGAGGGUUGCCAUGGCAAUGAUAAGUAACAUCUAAAACAGGAUUUCCAUGGGCACAAAAUGAAUUGGCCUUGCAGAGAUCUGCUGUUGUGAAUAAUAGUUCAACUGGUGGGAAAAUUAUUUCUAGCUUUUUAGCAUGUGCACAUGACUUUCUCUUAAUAAUUAUUCUCAAGUAGUAUUUGGAUCUCAACCUUAAGUAAAAAGAAAAGGAUUAUUAAAAAAAUACAACUAUGCUUAUUUUCUGUUUGCGACGAUUUUGCCUUUGACAUCACUUCAAUUCUAUCCUUUUCAUUCUUUCUUUCACUUACCAAAGCAGGGGCCGUGCCCCUGCACAACUCUGAGGCUCCUCUCAUGGUCUCCUGCUUGCUCCUCCUCUAGGCCCUGAAUCAAUAUCCUGUAUUUUGACCCAAUCAGUCCCAGUCUUUAGUUUCUUGGUUUGCUCUCAUGUUUUCUAGAAAAUAUUACAGAUAUAAUUUCCAUCUGAACUAUUUAAGAGCCUUUCAGUGUAGGAGACAUGUAGUGAUUAUAUGAAUAGAUAGGGUACUCAGUUUCCUGUUAAACAUGCCAGCGCUGACAUUUAUGUUCAUUGUGCUAGACUUUUCAGUGUCUUGCUUGAAUUGGAAAUAGCUUUCUAUUCUAACAACAAUGUAUAUAUUCUCUUCUAGACUGCAAAGUAAUGCACCAUACGGGCCAGCUCUUAAUUUAAGAUGAAAUGGUUAUAAAAAUGUGAUUUGCUCUGCUGUUCACAGUAUCUCACAUUUAGUGCACGGUUUGGAUGAAAUAGACUUUUAUACCACGUUCUAGAAAAGUUUCUUAAUGGUUUCAAGUUAUUUUCACUGUAACUUAUACUUUCCCAGAAGGGAAAAAUAUUGCUGGUCAUUUGGGGCCAUACUGCACUCUACACAUUCCAUUAAAACAAAUUUAUUUUGAGUUUUGCCAUUAAAAUAUGUUGCACGAUGCUCAGUUGCUUUGAGAGAUACUGACCAUAUGCCAGAUCAUUGUUGUGGUCUGUUUGUGUAGGUCUUCAGUUUUUCACAUUUGCAUAAACUUAUAUUUUAAAGUUUCAUAUAAUAUUAAACAUCACUGUCAUAUAACAUUUUUUUAUAUUGUAUUUUUAAUAUAUAUAAUAGUUUCAUGAGAUAUAGUUAGACUGCAGUGCUAGGUUGUCUGAGGUGGAAUUCUGGCUCAGCCACUUUCUGGCUAUGACUUUGAGAAGCAGCAAUGGACUUAAUCUCUCAGACCUUCAGAUUCCUCAUGGGAUUAACACUUGAAGGACAGCAUUAUGGAUUUUGCUGCCAAAUGACACAGGCUGGCUAAUGACACUACGUCACAUGUGGUCACGAGAUCACAUUGAAACCUGUGCUUCACCGUUUCAUAGAUUCAUUCAGAAAGUUAUUGACUUAUAAUUGGUCAUUAAAUUAUUACGUGUAUCCUACCUGUUGAGAUGUGUGAAUGGCUGAGAUGUGGCAUCUGCUCUUGAGCUUACUGUGUGUUCAUGCCCAGUUGGAUGAGCACCAUGACAUGUGCGUAAUGUGGAGUGCACCUGGAGAAGAAGCAAGCAACACUUGAUGUGACAUGAGACCUGUGCUUGAGUGGUGCUUCCCACAGAGCCCUCACUGUGUCCUCAGGAUGGAUGAGGUAUGCAGCAUGCUCACGUAGCCACAGCUCCCUCACAUGCUUGUGAAGCACACUGCAAUCAAACGUUCUUUCUCUAUAUGGACACCAAGCUUCCUGAAAAACAAACAAACAAACAAAACCCAACAAAUUCGGUUUACAUCUUUACAUGUCCGGUGCCUCAUCAGUGUUCAGCAAUAGCUGAUGUCUAAUGAAAUUUACCUGAAUAACUACCUGCAUAAGUCAAUGAACGAAUAAAUGACUAAAAUGAAAUAAAGCAUGUAGAAUGAAUGAGACACCAGAUACGAAAAAAUCUGUGGAUGCAUAUCAGGUAGUCAAGACCAUUUGAAAAGUAGGUGUGUAACUUUGGAACGAGAAGAGAUUAGAUAAGACUGAAGUAAUCAUCUGAUUCAGAUUGUGAACAACUCUGGAAACCGUGCCAGUGAUUCACACAUAAUUUUAGAAAAUGUGGGAAGUAAUUUAAUGUUUUAAAUUGGAUAGUCAUGUUUGAGACCUCUGUUGUAAGGGUGUGAUUUAUCAGAAUGUGGAUGAUGAAUUGAGUAGAGAGAGAAUAAAAGAACAGAAAAAAUAAGACGAUUAAAAUGAUGCAAGUGAGAAAUUGUUAGAAGCAAUAUCACAGUAGUGUCUGUGGCAAUGUAGUGAAAGAAUAAACUUGGUAUCAAUAAAAUUUAGUGAGAGGAAGUCUGAGUGUUGAGACAGAGAAGUAGAAAUGACAGUGGCUGCUGCACUUAGUAAUUCAGUAAUUGGUUAAUGUCAUAUCUUUUGCUAGAAAAUAAAAGAAUAGAAAAUGUUCUUUUUACUUGUAAAGAUGUUGCAAGAGACGUACCAAUGAGAUGUCUUUGUGAGCAUGUCAGAUAUUUAGAGCUGAAAUGAGAAUAAUGGCCAGGGAAGGUGGAGAGGGGAGCCUAUUGGAGAACUAAGUACAAAACUCCAGCGAAUAAAACAUCCAUGUAUUAACAUAGAAUAUUAUAUGAGUUCGAGCUAAUGUUCUUAUCUAAACAAAUUAGAACACAACAUUGUGUAUUUUGGAACUUUGCAUUGUUUUCAGCGUUGGCUUUUUUCCUUAUAAACAAUCUUAGCAAGUUACCAGUUGGCAUCAGUUUUUGGGGGGGAUAGGUGGACUGACCAUAAAAAUACACUUUAUGAUUCGAGGUAAGGAAAGAGUUUUUCUUGUGUCUCAUGCUUGCAGCCUUCUCUUACACAGGGACUUUUGUUUUUUCUGAAUUAUGGCAGUUACAUGAGGCUGGUUACCAAAAAAUGAGCUUUCCUGAUCUGUUUCUGAAAGGCAUAAGGGUACACAUGAUUUUCUCUACUGUACUAUUGUGAUCAUUUCCAAUGUCAGUUGUUCUACCUGAAUCCUUAAAACAAAUAGUGACUGGUCUCACUAGGUCAUUUACCUUACUUCACCUUACUUUAAACUUCAAUCAGCCACAAUCUUUUAUCGGAAUUGUUGGUUACGUCUAAGAAUAUAACUUCCAAGAAGUUCUGUCUUUUUUUUUUUUCUAAUCUCUGAAUUUCCUGUUGGAGCAAAUUCAAAUUUCUUGUUCGGUUAUAUAAUGCAUAAUUUGUGGAAAAUUUCUCUAGGCUACUAAGCAACUUUUUAAGAUCUUUAUAAACCAUCUUCAAUAAUUGCUCUCCUAUUGCUCAUAUCAUUGGAAGGAUGAUCCUUGAAAUGGGACACACUUGACUGGCACUCAGGCAUUUGUUUAUUGCAGUGUUCCUUUGCCUUUAAUCCGUGCUCUGAUAAUGUGGAUGAGGACCCUGGACUGGAUCAAAUAACUGCCCACAUGUAGCAAAUGGAGAAGGUAAUUGUGGUGAGCCCAGGGGUAGCUUCGCUUUUGGUAAUUCCCCACUUGUCUGCCAGGCUUCCCUUAUCCUCAGUUCUUAUCUCAGAAUCUUAUCUGGUGUUUCAGUCAUGCAGAUAUUAUUCUGAGCUAGUGUCCUCACUGUAGAAUGUCCCUAUCAACCAAUCCUUAAGGAUGAGGAAUUUUACAUAAUGAGGACUUUUAUUCACUCUGUCUAGGGCAAUCUACAUUUUAAAUGAUAACCCCUAAAGACUGAAAACCAAAAGGAAUUAAACAUGGAGGAUGUACUUCUAGAACAUAAGUCAAGCUACAGAGAGGCGGAAGCAACUGACCGAGAGCAUCACGGUGUCCUUUAGCUCUUACAGUACAUCAAUUCAUUAACUGGAUGUUCAUUGUGUACCUGCUAUACAUUAGGCACGGGAAGCAGUGGAUACGAAGUCUGCCCCUGUUCUCCAGGAGUAGCAGACAAACAAAAUCUAAUUAUGGAAAAUACAAAGGGCUACAGCUAAAUUUAAGACAAAAAACUUAUAAUAGUCCUUAAAUAUGCUUGGAAAUUAGGAUCACAGGAAGUUUGCCUCUUCCCAUUUUUCAGUUUCUUUCAUGUAGAUAAUAUUACUCUAUUUAUACUCUAUACCUUAGGGAGGGUGUCUGUGUCUUUUAUGUGACAAGAGUUAAAAGAAAUAAGCAUUUUAGAAGUAAACGAGAUUUACUGAAAUAAGAGAAAGUUAUCUCGCCUUCAAAGCCCAUUUAGGCCCUGGAUCAAGAACUUGUCCAGGUGACCUUAGGAGUGGUUCAGCCCCUUAGGCCUCCAUUUAUGAAGGAAAUGCAUAGAACUUCACGUCAUCCAAGACUGUUGCAGCUGUAAUAUUUUAAAACUGUAGAAUUGUUUACUGUUCCAUUAAAACUGCUUUUAGGAGCAUUUAUCCCCUGAUUUUCCAGAACAAAAUUACAUCUUUUUUCCUGUGUUCCUGUUUCAUAGAUGAAUCAUUCGAAUUUUGAAGUAGUUACGUAGCUUGCGCACAUUGAUACGAGUAAUAACUGGAGCGCUAAUAUCCAGACCCACUCUUGUAACUUUAAAUUCUGCACUGUUUCUUUUUACUCAGGCUGGGAUUCAGAUUCUUCAUUUCACGCUCAGUAGACCUUCUCCUUGGUACUCAGUUCUGAACAGUAGCCGGGGAUACAAAAAAAAAAAAGAUCAUUUAUUUAUUUGCUUUCUUUUGACAAUAAACAACAGUUUAAAUUUGUUAAAGAUCAUGUGGUAGGGAAUGCUUAGUGUUACACUAGGAAAAUAAUAAUAGGCAAAAAUCUUUUUAGAUCAUUUAUGCUUUAUCUCUUGUAGCUGCUGAAACAAUCCUGAAAGAUGUAUAAUUAUUAUGAAUACAGCAAAAUUUAAUUUUUCCCGUUGCCUCAAAACUUAAUGACAAUGUGAUAGGUGAGAAAAAUAGUGGGGAGGAACCUCCUAAAAUUCUAAAAACAACUACUGGAUACAAUUUAAGUGACUGAGUUUCUGCUUUAAAUUUUACUUUUAAUUUCCAGUGGCCUUUAAUAAAUGGAAAAUGGAAAUUUCCAAAGUCUUAGAAUAGAAACAUUUUUAUCCUGGCUAGGAAUUCUUUAAGAGAACCAGUAGCACAAAACUGAAGUGGAACAGUGGAGCUAGAGAGUUCAUGCCCUGGAGUUUAGAAGCCUACAAGCAAAGGGAAUGGUGCCCACUUCUCACUAGAAAAAUUUCACAGGCUAGAGUCUGGAUGGAGGAGCCUGUGAUGGCAGUAGAAGUGUGCAGGAAACACUGAGUCAAGCCUAUACUGUCACAUCUUGGUUUGGCAAUAAUGUAUAAGUUACCUACAAGCCAAGUGAUCACUGCUGAAACCAUCUUGAAAGAACCUGCCAUCCAGGUGGCAUAUCAGGGAGAAGGAAACUAGAGCUGUCACAAGACUUGUCUUAAGACAUCAGUCACAGAGAAUUGAUCAGAAAGGAGGAGCCCAAAGUGAUCAUACAACUAUGUCCUCCGAUAUGUAAAUUCCUGCCACUCACAAGGUAUUCAUCUGAAGUCAAGAGUUAACCACAAAUAUCACCUGCUAAAUGUGCAAACUUUUUCUCCUUUGUCUUUAACCUCUUUCUCAGCCAGGGAGUUGGAGAAGAUGAGAGGGGUGAGGGCGCCAGGAGGAAGAAGGACAGGCUUGUCUCCUUUUUCUUUCUGUAGGUCUCUCAUAGAGACAUCUGUCAUAGGUGAUGGUGACGGGAAAGGGAGAAUGUUUUGUGUGGCUAUUGGCAGUUAAGCAGCUUAACUAUCAGAAAGUGAGUCCUAAAAGGUUUUUAUUGUAGUUAUUGUUAUUUGUUUGUUUGUUUCUAAGAAUUGAAAAAUCAUAGGAUUCUCCCAAGCUUUCAUUUAAGGACAAGGAAAAAGAAAUUCUACUUUAGCCAGAGCCUAUGGUUGGAAAUAAAGUAGUAGUAGUAUUCUUUGAAUUCCAUAGAGUUAAGUUCGGUAAAAUAGAAACUUGGAAAAGUUAGGCAACUUGACCCAAAAUCAGCCGCUUUAAAAAUUGCAGCAUAAAAAUUUAAAUUUUGUGCAGUCUGACUCUAAAUCCUUCAUGUUAACUUCUGUGCAGUUCUUCCUAUGAAAAUUACAAUGAUUAAUUAGGGUUAGUCAUAGAUAUCAUUACAGUAGGGAAAAAUAAUACUUUGACUCAGUUUUGAUUUUACUGAACAACGCAACGAUUAUUCUUAUAUCUUGACCACUUGGUAUUCGCUUAUUUAUUUUACUGCAUUUUCUGUGGAAAUUAAAUUCAAAAUUCAGAGCUACGUACCAGCAAUUCCCUAGAUGUACCAUGUACACCUAGGGUUUAUGGAUGUCCAAACUUGAACUUUUUGACCCCAGAUCCCCAAGUGAACACCCAUUUCUCAAAAAUUCCCCAAGUACAAGUUUUUCCCCGUUUAUUGAAUAGUGGCGCACUGUUCUCUUGAGAACACUAGAAUAUUAUUAUUCUGCUGAACAACAGCACAUCUUCAUUUGUUGAACAUUAGCACAAUAUUCACCCAGUCAAGUCCACAUCAUACGAAACAUAUUUGACUUUUCUUUUUCCUUCUAUCUUCAGUCAAUUAUGAACUCCUAGUGAAUUUACAUUCUGAAGCAGCUCACACUUUUUCUUUUCUCCAUUCCUACAGGCAUUACAUUCGUUUUGGUGCCCAGUAUCUCACCUGGUCAAAUGUAAUACUCAUCUCCUUUCUUCCAAACAUAUUUUCUAUUGAUGUAGCAGAGUUAGAUCAGAGAUACAUGAAACAAAAAUCUAACUGUAUCCAUCCCCUGAUUAAAACCGCUCAGUAGCUUGGUAAAUGGUUUCUUACCAUGACAGUCAAGGGCUUUCACACUCUGAUCCCUGUCUGUACAGCCAGCCCUCCUUCAGUAUCCUCCCCAUGAAACAAGGCCCCCGUUCAGGCAAAAUGAUUGGCAAUGUAAAUAUUCUGUGCUUUCGUUUAUGUUUUCCUCAACUCAUUCAUUUAUGUAUACAUUUAUUCAUCAGAUAAAUAUGUGACUUGUUCUAUUUAUGGUUCUUCUGUACUGGGCACUGGGAACACUGAACAUCCAGAUCGAUGCGGACCUCAGUCUUAAGGACCUUAGUUACAAAUACUAAGUAUCGUAUUUAAAUCAUGAUUUACAGUUACAAUUAAGCGGGGUAAAGGAAAAGAAGAAAAUGUAUAAAGAGUGUAUGACAAGUGGACUUGAACUAAGUUAUGAGAGAAGGAUAAGAUUUCCCUGCAAAAGAGACUUUGAGUUGAGGUUGGUAGGUUGAUAGAAGUCAACCAUGCAGAAGAAUGGUGGAUCAUGGGCUGGCAGAGAAAGGAGGAGCAUCCUGGACAGUGGAAACAACCGGUGCAAAAGCUCAGAGGUGAGAAAUAUCAGGGCACGUUUGGGCUCUAAAAGAAGGUGGUGGUCGGGUGAGGUGGCUCAAGCCUUUAAUACCAGCACUGUGGGAGGCCGAGGCAGGUGGAUCACAAGGUCAAGAGAUUGAGACCAUCCUGGUCAACAUGGUGAAACCCCACCUCUACUAAAAAAUGCAAAAAUUAGCUGGGCGUGGUGGUGUGCACCUGUAGUUCCAGCUACUUGGGAGGCUGAGGCAGGAGAACUGCUUGAAUGCAGGAGGCGGAGAUUGCAGUGAGCCACGGUUGCGCCACUGCACUCCAGCCUGGUGCCUGGUGACAGAGCAAGACUCGGACUAAAUAAAUAAAUAAACAAACAGACAAACAAAUAAAUAAAAGAAGGUGGUGUGGGCCUGGCACAGUGGCUCACGCCUGUAAUGCCAACACUUUGGGAGGCCUAGACGGGCGGAUCAUGAGGUCAAGAGAUUGAACCAUACUGGUGAACAUGGUGAAACCCUGUCUCUACUAAAACUACAAAACUUAGCUGGGCACGGUGGCACAUGCCUGUAGACCUAGCUACUCAGGAGGCUGAGGCAGGAAACAUGAGAGGCGGAGGUUGCAGUGACCUGAGAUUGAGCCACUGUUUGUCUCAAAACAAACAAGGAAACAAACAAAAAAGAAGGCAGUGUGCCUGCAGCAAGGCUGUGCUCACAUAGCAUGACCGGGACAUGGCCCAUUGAGAAGUCCUUUCUUUUACGAAUUGUCUCUGAAUACUGCCCCAUUAGUCAUUCCGUUCAUUUCAUCCCUUCUUUCUUCCUGUGUCAAGGCCAAGAAGGACCCCGUCUCUGUUCUCACUGUAACCGAUAUGUCUCUUGUUGCCCUCUCACAUUGUGUUGUAAUGAUCUCUUUACAUAUUUAUUUGCCUUCCUCUCACGACACUGUCGGAUUUCUGAGGAAAUCACCAGAAGUCAUACGUGUUUUUCAGCCAUUAGCUGUAGUGUCCACAUGUGGGAGAAUGUACAUCAAGUAUUACUUUCUUCUCAUCCAUUCAUUUCUCAAGUUACUGCAGUUUUUAUGUGCAUGUCCCAUUUCUUCCUCAAAUUGAGGAGUAGCAAUAUUUUUGCAAGAAAGUAUUACUUUCCUUCUGCAUUUAUAUCUGGAUUAAUGGUUCUGCCAACUUCAGGUCCACCAAGCAAUAAACUAGAAAUAAGCCGUAUUCUUCCUUCUCAUUCCACCUCUAGUAAUUAUUCCUUGACUCUGUGUCUUAGCUUUGUAUCUCAGCACUAAUUCAGUCUUUCCUAAUUUCAUACCUGGGUUACUAGAAUAGAAUAAACAGGAGUUUCAACUUGUAUUCCUAUGUUGGAUUCAUUCCUCCUGUAUUACCCAAACAGCUGUUAAAGUGGACUUCCUAAAAUUUACACCUGAUUAUAUACUGGUCUAAUUAAACUUCUUUAAUUAUCUCUUUGCCUCCAGAAUAAAAGACAAACUCCUUAGCAAGGUCUACAGAGUGUUUUGUAGAUCUCCCUAUCUCCAUCAUCUCAUCUUUAGAUGCUGUGGUGUCCAGAACCUUGAUCUAACACCGUCUUGAAGCACACAUGCUGAGCUCCUGGUGCACCAUGAUUUGGGCCCUUAAAAAUGUUGUUUGCUCAAUCUUUGUGGAGAAAGUCUGCCACAUAUUCCAACUUAGUAAAUUCGAACUCCUACUCAGAUGAAGGUUUGAUCUUCCACAGGAUCCCUUUCCUCACCAUUCUCCUUUGUGAGAGAUAACUUGUACUUAUCAUAAUAAUCUUUUUAUUAUAGUAUUCCCCUCCCCAAAUUAUUGUGAGUUCUUCAGCUGAGAAGUCUUGCUGUAUUUUCUUAUCACCACUGCCUGGGAAAUACCAUAUAUUUAACACAUUUUUGUUCAAACAAUCUAACAGUAAAAGCUGAAGAUACCAUAUUAUUAUUCCUCCACUCAGUGAGAAAGGUGAAGAUGAGAUGAGGGAAGAACUAAAAAUAUAUAAGUGAAUGAAUUAUAAGCAUAAAUUUCCUGUAGACCCAAUUUCAUUAUGAUCUGAGUAAUAGUGUUGUGAAAUAGAUUACAUUUCCAUUGCUUUUAUAUUACACAUAAAGUAAUUAAUUUUCAGAAUACUUGAUUAACUUUGUGAAGUAUCACACAAUUUAAAAACGAUAUUGGUAUUCGGCCGCAGAUAUAUAUUUCUGUGUUCUUUUUAAAGUUCAGUGAGAUCUUCUUAUACUCCCUUAAUUAAACUUAUUUUCUAGUGCCUAAACCUUUUCUUAUUUAAUGUCUCUUUUCCUUUCUUUCUAAAAUGUAACUGGUUAAACUAUAGCUUUGUCAUUUAUAAAGUUUUGUCUUUUAAUAUUAUUAUUGUAGGGAUAAUUAUCAUUUUUAAAAUAGUUAAAACUUAUUCCGUAAUAUAACAGUACACUAAUAUAUUGUGUGUAUGUUGUAUUUUAUUAAAAUAUUAAGAUGUUUUAUUUAUAAAUGAAAAGUUAGUUCUAAACACUGGAGUAUUGAUUUUAAACAGUCUGCCAAGACAAUAAUACAAGUAACACAGCUAAGCCUUUCUUUAAAUAAUAAAACAAGUAUCUAAAUGAAAAUUCAUCUACCUCUUGAAGGUUGAUUGUUAAAAUGUUAUAUUCAUGGGGACGCCGAGACUUGGGGCUCUGGCAGCUGGGAGGCCGUAGGCCCGUGACGGGGAUGCACCGCUGUGGGGUGGGAGCUGGCGCCUUCAUGAAGCACUAACUUUCAGAGGCCAAGUAUAGGGAGCGAGGGACGGUCUUGGCUGAGGACCAACUAGCCCAGAUGUCAAAGCAGUUGGACAUGUUCAAGACAAACCUGGAAGAAUUUGCCAGCAAGCACAAGCAGGAGAUCCAGAAGAAUCCUGAGUUCCACGUGCAGUUCUAGGACGUGUUUGCCACCAUUGGUGUGGAUCCUCUAGUCUCUGGAAAAGGAUUUUGGUCUGAGAUGCUGGGCCUGGGGGACUUCUAUUAUGAACUAGGUGUCCAAAUUACCGAAGUGUGCUUGGCACUGAAUCAUCGGAAUGGAGGUCUGAUAACUCUGGAGGAACUACAUCAACAGGUGUUGAAGUGAAGGGGCAAGUUCGCCCAGGUUGUCAGUCAAGGCGACCUGAUCAGGGCCAUCAAGAAACUAAAGGCACUUGGGACUGGCUUCUGCAUCAUCCCUGUGGGCGGCACUUACCUCAUUCAGUCUGUUCCAGCUGAGCUCAAUAUGCAUCACACCGUGGUGCUGCAGCUGGCAGAGAAAAAUGUCUACGUGACUGUCAGUGAGAUCAGAGCCAGUCUUAAAUGGGAGACUGAGCGAGCGUGGCAAGUGCUGGAACACCUGCUGAGGGAAGGGCUGGCGUGGCUGGACUUGCAGGCACCAGGUGAGGCCCAGUACUGGCUGCCAGCUUUCUUCACUGACCUUUACUCCCAGGAGAUUACAGCUGAGGAGGCCAGAGAAACCCUUCCCUGACUGUGUGGAAGGGCACACAGCAGCAGGCCACAAGAAGGAAGGAGGGGCUACUGGCGAAUAAACCUGGGCAGUUUUGUUUAUA